rnacentral:rRNA from 1 species
UACGUAGGGGGCAAGCGUUGUCCGGAAUGACUGGGCGUAAAGGGAGUGUAGACGGCCUUUUAAGUUAUAUGUGAAAGCCCCCGGCUUAACCGAGGAACUGCAUAUAAAACUGGAGGGCUGGAGUGCAGGAGAGGUGAGUGGAAUUCCUAGUGUAGCGGUGGAAUGCGUAGAUAUUAGGAGGAACACCAGAGGCGAAGGCGACUCACUGGACUGUAACUGACGCUGAGGCUCGAAAGCGUGGGGAGCAAACAGG